GCACCGCACGUAUUCCUCUUCCUCCCCAAAUCGUUUCCGUUCAGAUCGCUCGCCCCAGGCUUCUUCCUCCCAAAAUCAAAAUCAUUCAAAGCGCGCGCACCAGGCUUUUUCCUCCCCAACUUGAAAGCUUUCAGGGCAUUUGCACCAGACCUGCGACAGCACCAGCAGGACAGCAAAGAGCGUUCAGACCAGAGACUUGCAGUGGUAGCAUCGGCAAGACGGUAACCCUCCGUGAUUUGCGAAUUUUGAAGGUUGAAGAGUGGCUAAUGUGUUGUUCUUGGAAUCACUAGUUGGAGUGGGCUUUUCCUACUUAAACACUUCGUCUGAUUAUGAUCAAGCAGGAGAUAAGUUUACAGCAAAAGAUGCCUAUGUGUUCCUCAUCAAUUGGCUUGAGAGAUUUCCACAAUACAAAUUCAGAGAUUUCUUGAUCAUUGGAGAGAGCUACGCUGGUCAUUAUCUGCCUCAACUUGCUUACACCAUUUUGGUCCAAAAUAUUUUCUCUGGACAAACCAUUAUCAACCUUAAAGGCAUUGCUGGAAUGCUUGGAUUGAUGAUGAAACAAGUUCAGAGGGAAUAUUCAAUUACUUAUGGACUUAUGCUCUAAGCUCAUAUGAAACCCAUUCAAUUAUUGAUAAUAUAAGUUUUCCUGGUUCACCUGACACCUCACUCAUAAAUGGUCCACCUGGUUUUGAACAAUAGACUGACAAAAACAAAAGGAAGGCUGAAUGGACAUUUACAAACAUAGAUUGACAAAAAACAAGAGGAAGGCUGAAAGCUGUCUAAUGAUGGAUGGAGAUUAAUUUGCUACUAAAUGCUGGUAGGGGCAGAUGAUUGUUGUCCAAUAAAGCAAAGCAAGUGCCAUCCAACAAAAAGAAUCAUACUAUGAAGUCAUGUGCUCCAAAAGAGGAGAUGGGGAUAUACCAUAAUGUCCAAGAAAAUUGUGUAAUGCUUGUGAAUCCAAAAAAAUGGCCAGCAACCUAUCUUGCAUCUAUUUUAAUGUCCUGUAUGAAGAAGAAAUUGUAGCUAGUUAGGUUUAUGUAAUGUGAUGUCCAUAUGUGAUAAGACAAUCUAUGUAUACAAGUAGCAAAUGUACAAAAACUUUGAAAUGAAUGAAAGAUUAUUCCAUCUA